CAAAACGCAGCAGCACUUGCUCAUAAUUCAUAUCACAGAUUCAGCUUCCACUAUCUCAAAUUUUCAGUUUUCUUUGUUCAAGUGCAAUGUCACCUAUCAUUGUCAUACGAAAAACUCUUUUUUUCUCAAGUUCUUUCACUUGCACAUGAAGAGCGCCUCUUAGUGAAUUUGGAAAAUGGUUGCAACCCUCCGAGGCUUGAAUUCAUUGCAGUUUUGAAAACCUACUGGAAAAUCACCAAUCUUGAUAAGAAUGAUUCAUUUUACACAGUAUCCAUUGAAUUUUUGGUCGUGUGUUCGAAUUUUUUUCGUAAUUUUUCAAAAAAGGGGGAAGACAUUUUUCAAAAAAAUUGCCCCACGUGAAAACUAUGCAUCUUUGAAUCUCGGGAAUUAUUUUCGGCACUUAUGGAAAGCCGUUCUCUUAUCGGAGGCGCUUGCUCUACUUCCCGUUUCAGCGAAGGAAAUUAUUCCAGACAACUCCAAAACUUUCAGUCUUAAAAAUCAAGACAAAAUGAUCGAAUAUAUUAACCAGGUUCAGUCAUCGUGGGAGGUAACGACGAUGUAUAUGAAAGGGUACUUACAUUUUCCUCGAUUGAACAGUGCACGAUUUCUACGCAUCUUUCUUAGGUAAAAGGGACAUUGGUAGAAGGUGAACUGCUGUGAUUAUUUAACUAGACGAUUCAUUCACGUCUCGAAAUCACUAAAGAUCUUUGGAACUCGAUGUUUUUGCCGAAAAAUUGACACAAAACUUACUUUGCCGAUCUAAUUGCGGAGUUUGCACUUGUCCUGUAGCCUGGCUGUUGAAAUAUUUAUGUGCAUGGACCGGAUAAGACAAGAUUAAGGAGAACGGAGUUAUGUGAUCGGUCAAUGCUCUGAGUUGUGCGUCUUAUUGCGCCGAUACAGGGUGUCAUCAAAUCAACAAGAAGCUAAAGGCACCUCUUGAGUUGCCGAUACUUUAUCCAUCUUUUCAAAUCCCUUCCUACUCAGAUCCGCAUGUUUUAUCGGCACGACAUGACGACAAGGCGCAAGACUUCGAGUAUCGACCAAUUGCAUGACUCUAUUUUCUUUCAUCUUAUCUUAACCGGUCGACAAACACAAAAUUUCAACAAUCAGGCUGCUAAUCCUUCCGCCUUCAGUUAUUUGACUAUGCAAUAUGAGCUACGCAAGAGUGGUAAUACCUGCAAGAGGAUCAUCAUCAAUUGUACAGAAAGUGUCUAAAUUUUAAAUUGCGGAUUGAGGGAAUAAGGCAGGAAAUGAGGAGAUGCGAUCUGCUGGAGGAGCUCUGGCAGGAUCGCUAUCAGUGGUGGUUGGGCGUCGCAGAGCGCACAGAAGCGCUAUAAGAGCGACUUGUUAGUUAGUAGUCUAAAUUUUAUAGGUCGUUAUGCGUAUGUCAUAAUUGUUUGAAACAAAUGUUGGAGAGAUGAUUCAAUUUGUUCUGUCUCAGGCAGGGAAAAACUUUCACGAUGACACGCCCGAGGACUACCUAAGGAAACUUGCCUCAGCCUGGAUAUCAGAGGAAGAACUUCUUUUGGACACCCAUUAAGAUGGGUCCGAGGUUACAACUUACACCAGCGCUGAUCCGCCUGCUGAGUUUGACGCAAGGAAGAAGUGGACCAACUGCCCGAGUGUUGCCCACAUCUACGAUCAGGGAAACUGCGGUAGUUGUUGGGUAUGUACUAUGUAUCACAAAAUUGUAGAGAUUCUUUUUUGAGGAUUUUUUUUA
rnacentral:lncRNA from 1 species